rnacentral:rRNA from 1 species
CCUCUUCUGGGGAAACCAUACUUCGCAUGCGUCGUAUGCAAGUCGCAUGUUCAGCAACCAUUUCAAGUGGUGGUUCCAAGGUCGCUGGCGCCGUUCCUCCCAUCGAAGCCGACGCCGGCGACCCUGACCUGGCAGGGUCGGACCUGGGAGAUGCGCUUCACAGGGGGGCGGCACAUCCAGCGGCUGGAGGCAGGGUGGCGGAGCUUCGCGCUGGACAACGCGCUGAGGCUCGGCGACGGUUGCGUGUUCGAGCUGGUGGGGGGCGAUGGCGAGAGCAUCAUGUUCAGGGUGCAGGUGCUACGUGCCGAGAUCCCGGCGAGUAUCCGGCAGAGGGCAAGCGGGUACACCCCGUCCAGCGCCAUCGUGCUAGACUAG